GACGAACGCUGGCGGCGUGCCUAAUACAUGCAAGUCGAACGCUUCUUUCCUCCCGAGUGCUUGCCCUCAAUUGGAGAGAGGAGUGGCGGACGGGUGAGUAACACGUGGGUAACCUACCCAUCAGAGGGGGAUAACACUUGGAAACAGGUGCUAAUACCGCAUAACAGUUUAUGCCGCAUGGCAUAAGAGUGAAAGGCGCUUUCGGGUGUCGUUGAUGGAUGGACCCGCGGUGCAUUAGCUAGUUGGUGAGGUAACGGCUCACCAGGGCCACGAUGCAUAGCCGACCUGAGAGGGUGAUCGGCCACACUGGGACUGAGACACGGCCCAGACUCCUACGGGAGGCAGCAGUAGGGAAUCUUCGGCAAAGGACGAAAGUCUGACCGAGCAACGCCGCGUGAGUGAAGAAGGUUUUCGGAUCGUAAAACUCUGUUGUUAGAGAAGAACAAGGACGUUAGUAACUGAACGUCCCCUGACGGUAUCUAACCAGAAAGCCACGGCUAACUACGUG
rnacentral:rRNA from 1 species